CCCCACAGGCCGCGUGUUUGAGAUCCCUGACCUAAGUUAUGUUACUCCAACUGAGUACCGGGGUUGACUGGAGAACGCUCUGUAGUCGAUUUAGCAGGACUUCACGAGACCUGCUAAAUAGACCCCUGCUGCAUCGAUUGCAGCAGUGUCAAUCUCCCCAUAGUAUAGAUCAGCCUUAGGAGUGUGUUGGGAUCACUCUGAAAACAGUAACCAGGGCUGCUGGAAGCCAGAUUUGCUGACAGGCUGCUGGAGUCAGAGCUGCUGAACCAGAGCAGUGACUAUACACAGACACUCAGGAUGUGACCUGCAUGCUGUUUGUGAGGAGCUACAGCAUCAAACCAGGGCAAGUGUUGAGCAUAGGGUUGCCAACAGUCCCUUAUUAGAAGGGAGGUCCCUUAUUUUUUCCUCUCUGUACAACAAGAUCGGGAGUUGCUGAGUGCUGCAAAAAGCAGCAAAAAACAUGCUUGGUGAAUGUAGACCCGAUCAUGGAAAAACUGUUAAAGCUCAGUGGAAGUUCUGUUCUUCUGAAUACGUAACACAUGUAGAUAGAAUGGCGAAACACUUGUUGAAUUCUUGUGACAUGUGUCCAGCUACUCUCAAACAUAGCUUGUUGCAGUCAAACAGCAAGAAAGGGAAAAAAUUCUGUGCAUUCUCCUUCUACUUUGUCUUUGGCAACAUCAUCAUGAAGCUUGGAGUCUACUGAUGAAGAUAGUGCCAUGAGUGACAAUGAAAGUGAAGCUAAUUCCAUUUCUUCAUCUUCUAAUAAGAAUUUUGCUACUCCAUUUUCUUCAGCAUCAAAAACUACUCCUGGAAAGUCUUCAGACGUUCAUCCAAUUGGUAUUAAGAGUUUUCGGGUAGAAUGUCCCAUGGCCAGAAAAACGAACUUGACUGUAGAUUCAUUAGGGGUAUUUAUGUUGGCAAUACACUAUUUCAUAUAGUUGAAAAUUCUUAUAUGCUAGAAUUUUUCCAUCAGUUAAAUCCAAUUUGCCAAGUAUCAAGUAGGAAAUGGCUUGAAAGAAGUCUUCUGAAUGCUGAAGUAGACAAUGUGAAAAAGAGAGUUGGUGUUCUUAUUGCACAAGCUCCUCACAUGUCUCCAGAGUCUAAUGAAUGGCACAAUACCCUCAAAGAGGGCAUCAUCAACUUCAUGAUAACAACUCCACAACCAAUGUUUUAUUCAUUCCAAUGUAUAACUCAGCAUCACCACAUAGCCCGCAUAUUGCUGACAAGUUAAAAAUAUAAUCAGUGGGUCCAUGGAAAGUUAUUUUGGUUGUGACCAACAAAAUAGCUAAUAUGAAAGCCGUUUCGGACUCUGUUGAUAAAUGAUUAUCCCUAGCUUCUGUGUUACAGAUGUGCUGCCCAUAAAAUGCAGCUUUUCACUCGUGAUGUUGAAGAUCUGACAACUUUCUCAUCACAUGUGUAAAAAGUGAAAAGCAUUGUCAAGAUUUUCAAAAACAAAAAAAUACCAGCAUCUGUUUUCCGGCGUGUUUUUUUUAAAAGUACUCAAUUUCAUCCACACCGAGUAAGCCUUGUUGUGCUUAUCAUAGAAUCAUAGAAUCAUAGAAUAUCAGGGUUGGAAGGGACCCCAGAAGGUCAUCUAGUCCAACCCCCUGCUCGAAGCAGGACCAAUUCCCAGUUAAAUCAUCCCAGCCAGGGCUUUGUCAAGCCUGACCUUAAAAACCUCUAAGGAAGGAGAUUCUACCACCUCCCUAGGUAACGCAUUCCAGUGUUUCACCACCCUCUUAGUGAAAAAGUUUUUCCUAAUAUCCAAUCUAAACCUCCCCCACUGCAACUUGAGACCAUUACUCCUCGUUCUGUCAUCUGCUACCAUUGAGAACAGUCUAGAGCCAUCCUCUUUGGAACCCCCUUUCAGGUAGUUGAAAGCAGCUAUCAAAUCCCCCCUCAUUCUUCUCUUCUGCAGGCUAAACAAUCCCAGCUCCCUCAGCCUCUCCUCAUAACUCAUGUGUUCCAGACCCCUAAUCAUUUUUGUUGCCCUUCGCUGGACUCUCUCCAAUUUAUCCACAUCCUUCUUGAAGUGUGAGGUCCAAAACUGGACACAGUACUCCAGAUGAGGCCUCACCAAUGUCGAAUAGAGGGGAACGAUCACGUCCCUCGAUCUGCUCGCUAUGCCCCUACUUAUACAUCCCAAAAUGCCAUUGGCCUUCUUGGCAACAAGGGCACACUGCUGACUCAUAUCCAGCUUCUCGUCCACUGUUACCCUUAGGUCCUUUUCCGCAGAACUGCUGCCUAGCCAUUCGGUUCCUAGUCUGUAGCUGUGCAUUGGGUUCUUCCGUCCUAAGUGCAGGACCCUGCACUUAUCCUUAUUGAACCUCAUCAGAUUUCUUUUGGCCCAAUCCUCCAAUUUGUCUAGGUCCUUCUGUAUCCUAUCCCUCCCCUCCAGCGUAUCUACCACUCCUCCCAGUUUAGUAUCAUCCGCAAAUUUGCUGAGAGUGCAAUCCACACCAUCCUCCAGAUCAUUUAUGAAGAUAUUGAACAAAACCGGCCCCAGGACCGACCCUUGGGGCACUCCACUUGAUACCGGCUGCCAACUAGACAUGGAGCCAUUGAUCACUACCCGUUGAGCCUGACAAUCUAGCCAGCUUUCUACCCACCUUGACGCUUGACGGGCAUCUUCUAUUAAAUGUCUCAAAGAUCUUCAGAUAUGCAAGAAGGUUCUUAAUUCAGCAGCUGUUGAAGGAGGGGUUGCCAGAGGUUGCCCCCAAGUAAUCUGCACUGACAUUCUUGAUGACAAUGUCUUUUGGAUGUGAAACUCAAAAUUAUUUCACUGCUUGAACCCAUGGCUCAGUCCAUUGAGAAUAUAGAAAAAUGACAAUUGUACAAUGUCUGAUGCCAAGAACGAAUUCCUGAACUUUAAGAAAUGUUUGUGGGGAUACUGAAAACAGUCAUAAAAGUUGAAAAGAAAAAAAUAAUAAAACAAUAUCAUAGAAAAAUUGAGUGAUCUCUCCAACACAUAAUGCUGCCUACCUUCUUUAUGCACACUUCCAGGAAGAUGUUUAUGAUGAACCUGAUUUCGCUUGUGAGUGCCUAGUGGCUGUUGCAAAUUUCAAAGGAUAUACAAACAGUUCUGAUGGAGGUAGCAAACUGUAAAACAAGAAGCAGCUUGUUCAGUCAUAAAACAAUGUGGAGUGCUAUCCCAGCAGUUGAAUCAAAACAGCUUACUCCAUCAGGGUGAAAAGUGUUGUGGCCUCCUUGCAAUCUAGAUACAGUGGCAGAAAUUCUUUUAACACUUCUGUGUAUUACUGCGGGUGUGGAACAAAAUUGGUCAGGCUGGGGAAUCAUCGAUUUAAAAACCAGAAAUAGACUGAAGACUUCUAACGACCGGGAAGCUGGUGACUGUGUUUCACAAUUUAAGAUUAAAGAAGAAAGUGGCAGAUGAAGCACUGACUCAGUAUUCAUCACAUGAAGAGGAAGAAGGGGAUAUUGAUGGAUUUGAUGAAGAUGACAACAAAAACACAGAUGAAGCAGUUGAAGCUGAUAAAGAAAGAGAUGAUGAUGAAAAUCAAGAUGCUUGACAAGUUGGCCUGCUGUCUACUUAGCAUAAAUGCAUUUUAAAAUGAGAUUUUUUUUACAGCUGCUAUAUGUUUGUUUUAUUUCUCUUUUAUGUAAUUUUUCUUUUUUUUUUUUUUUUGGUAACUGUUCAGUCUUGAAUGACAUUCACAAUUAAAUCCUAACUUAAUGUUGCUAAAAUCAAUUAUAAUAAUUAUUUAAUAUUUUAGAGCUUCAUUUCAUUGUGUUUUACAUUUUUCUGAGUUAAAAUAACUCAGUUAAAUAACUUGUUUUUUGUAAUUACGUAUAAGUAUCUAUCUAAGGCUAAGAUUAUUGAAGACUAUUACGUCUUUAAAAUAUUUGACCAUUUUUUACAUUACACGAGACCCUCACUAGAACGCGGGAUUUGGGAUCCAUUAACGGUACCACGUUAACGCAGGGACCGCGUUAUAGUGGGGACCACAUUAAAAUGAAUUCCAAUUAAAGUAAUUAAAUUUGGGAUCCAUGGCUGCAACCGCGUUAUAUGCAAAUUCGCGCUAUAUAGACGCGUGUUCUAGUGAGGGUCCGGUGUAUUUGACAAUAUUUGCCCGAUGUUUUAGUGGACAAUUGACCAAUAGUUUUGGACUGGUCAAAUGCCCAAUCCUACUUUAUUAGAAUAAAGAAAACAGUAUUACCUUUAA